CCUACGGGAGGCAGCAGUGGGGAAUAUUUCACAAUGGGGGAAACCCUGAUGCAGCGACGCCGCGUGAGCGAUGAAGUAUUUCGGUAUGUAAAGCUCUAUUAUCAGGGAAGAAAAUGACGGUAACUGACUAAGAAGCCCCGGCUAACUACGUGCCAGCAGCCGCGGUCAUACGUAGGGGGCAAGCGUUAUCCGGAUUUACUGGGUGUAAAGGGAGCGUAGACGGCUGUGCAAGCCAGAUGUGAAAGCCCGGGGCGAAACCCCGGGACUGCAUUUGGAACUGUGUGGCUGGAGUGUCGGAGAGGGAGGCGGAAUUCCUAGUGUAGCAGUGAAAUGCGUAGAUAUUAGGAGGAACACCAGUGGCGAAGGCGGCCUGCUGGACGAUGACUGACGUUGAGGCACGAAAGCGUGGGGAGCAAACGGGAUUAGAUACCCCAGUAGAC
rnacentral:rRNA from 1 species